rnacentral:misc_RNA from 1 species
AAUGCAGAUUGCAAGACACUAACCCGCUCCAUUAACAGUUUAUCUUCUAGUUCCUCAAUCACAGGACAUUCUGUUUCCAUAAUCAGCUCGAGAUCUUCAAAAUGCUUAAUUUUGCGAUGCAUCUUCUUCAUCUGUGUUUCUAUCAUUAUCGCCAAUAAAUAUUCCAUUUCUCUCUCUUCUUGAUCAGCAAGUAAUUUUGAACGUGCUGCAGCAGCACCAAGGGCUGUUGCAAUCGCAGCUCUAACUCGUAAG